rnacentral:rRNA from 1 species
AACGCGAAGAACCUUACCUCGGCUUGACAUGCACGUGGUACUGACCUGUAAGGGAAGGGACCCGCAAGGGAGCGUGCACAGAUGCUGCAUGGCUGUCGUCAGCUCGUGCCGUGAGGUGUUGGGUUAAGUCCCGCAACGAGCGCAACCCUUGUCCUUAGUUGAAAUCUCUAGGGAGACCGCCGGUCUAAACCGGAGGAAGGUGGGGAUGACGUCAAGUCAGCACGGCUCUUACGUCGAGGGCUACACACACGCUACAAUGGCCGGUACAACGGGCUGCAAAGGGGCGACCUGGAGCUAAUCCCACCAAAGCCGGUCUCAGUUCGGAUCGCAGGCUGCAACUCGCCUGCGUGAAGUCGGAGUUGCUAGUAACUGCUGGUCAGCACACAGCAGUGAAUACGUUCCCGGGCCUUGUA